rnacentral:lncRNA from 1 species
AUGGGCGCCUCAGACUCGAACUCCCAGAGCCAGCGAGCGACAAGCCUCAAAGGACGCCAUCUCCCAGUGGUCCCCACGGGUGUCACGCAUCAGAGGACCGCGUCUCUCAGAGCCCCUCAUGGGCGCCCGCCUCAGACUCCAUCUCCCAGAGCCCCGUGGGCGCCCGCCUCGGACUCCAUCUCCCAGAGCCCCGCGGGCGCCCGCCUCGGACUCCAUCUCCCAGAGCCCCGUGGGCGCCCGCCUCGGACUCCACCUCGCAGAGCCCCGUGCGCGCCCGCCUCGGACUCCAUCUCCCAGUGGUCGCUGCGGCCAUCGCGCCGCGUCUCCCAGAACUCCGCGCGGGCACCGCCCUCUGACGCCAUCUCCCAGAGCCCAGCCAGCGACAUCCUCAAGGACUCCAUUUCCCAGGGAUCCCCGCGGAAGUCCUACGUCAGAGGACUGCAUCUCCCAGAAUGCGCCGUGGCCUCUCGCUUCAGACUCCGCUUCUCCCAGAACACCUCGCGGGCGCUCACCUCAGACUCCAUCUCCCAGAGGCCCGUGGGUGUCAGCUUCCUAGGACUCUGUCUCACGGAGGGCCCUGCUGGGCUGCCCUCUUUGAGGACCCCAGCUUCCAGAGCCCCCUGGGCAAGUUCCCCUCUGAAUCCCAUAUGCGAAAGCCCCGCGGGCGCCCCCCUGACUCCAACUACCAGAGCCCAGCCAGCGCCAAGCCUCAGAGGACUCCAUCUCCCAGGAGACCCCGCGGGCAUCAUACGUCAGAGGACCGUGUCUCCCAGAAUGCACUGUGGUCUCUCGCUUAAGACUCCAUCUCCUAGAGGUCCCCGCGUGCACUGUGCGUCAGAGGACCGCGUCUCCCAGAACACCUCGCGGGCGCUCGCCUCAGACUCCAUGUGCCAGAGUGACAAGCUUCAAAGGACUUCAUCUCCCAGUGAUCUCCGCCGGCACCGCGCGUCAGAAGACCGCGUUUCCAUGAAGGCAGGGGGCGUCCAUCCUCAGACCCCAUCUCCCAGCGCUCCCCGCGGGCACCCCCCUCCCCCGUUAUACUUAGAACGAUGGAGCCCUAGAGUGUGGAGUGCAGAGCACGACAGGGCAUCUGUCACAGAUGCGUGGACACUCACGACGCGUGUUGGGAGACGGUGCUUGUGUGGAACUCACAGGCCGGAAGGAAAAUGGAAUGCACACGAGCAGUGCACCCUCCUUUCUCACAGGGCCAACAGAGGCUUCGGGCGUCAGGCGUCGCGGCACAGCCGCUUAAGUGGCCGCCUGCAAUCCUGCAUUCCCUAUGGGCGCUGCUUAGAUCAAGGCUACUGCACUCCCAAUCCAGUUCCCCGCUGAUGUGCCUGGGAAAGGCACAGAGCAGUGCAGUCAUGCACAUUUAUGUCCUUUAUGUCUCAGCAAAGCUGAGUUCCCAUCUCCAUGGAGAAUCUUAGGAAAGGCCAUGUGGGGUGAGCUCCUGUUUCGAUGUCAGCUUUGCAACAUUGAAUGUAAAAAUGGUCACUGAAAAACCCAGGAAGCUUGCUUAUUGUGAGAGUUGAAGGAUCAAAUUCCACUGUAUAUUAACUGUAAAUUUCAAGAUUUAGAGGUGACUUUUUUCUUUUUUUAGUUUUCUUAAAGAUUUUAAAAUUUAUAUGAAGGAGUUACAGAGAAAGAGAGAGAGGUCUUAGAUCUACUGGCCCAGUCCCCAAAAGGCUACAAUGGUCCAGACUGGUCCAGGCCAAAGCCAGGAGCCCAGAGAUCUUUCCCAAGUCUCCUGCAUGUGUACAGGGGACCAAGCACUUGAGUCAUCUGCCACUGUUUUUCCAGGCAAAUUAGCCCAGAGCUGGACUGGAGAUGAAACCGCCAAGUCCUGGACUUGUGCCCAUACUGGAUGCCAGCAUCACAGACAGCAGCUUAACCUGCUAUACCACAAUGUCAGCCCAAAGUAGUUUUAUUUUUGAACAUUGCCUUUGUUAAUGAAUUAACAAAUCUAUUCAUCCUUGAUUUUUCCAGUCAUUUCUUUAUUCUCUGUGAAUUUGCAUCUGCUCUUUGGGAUACCAACCCUUCUGCAUUGUUGACUGCAAACAUUAUAUGAGGUUCCCUCUGUCAUUCAUGAAGGGAUGAAAGCAUAAACUCAUUUUAACGUGAACCUAAGGAGAUCAUUUUAACAUUAAAGACAGAUAAUCUUGAGGUAGUUUCCUUUUUCCCUUCAUUUGCUCAAUUUUAUUUACUUUCCCACCUCUCUGGUGUAAGCAUGGUUUUAAUAGCACAAUAGCAUUGGCUUCUGCAUUGGCAGUGCUUAGCCUCGCCAGCAGGGCCAUCUGCUGGGGCUGCCUCCUUCAUAUGGUCAGCCCUUCUUUCUUAGUGACCAUGGCUCCUGUGACAGCAAAGCUACAGGUUUGGGUGGUGGAAACCAUGGAGGAGUCAACAGUGUGGAACAGCUUGAGUAUAUUUCUUUGGUGCUUGAAUGAUCCUGGCCCACCCGUACAGCUUCUGUGUCUAACAUCACUGCCUUCUGCUGCAUGGUGGCUCUACUCUGUUGUGUGUCAGAGACCUUUGGGUGGCAUUUCCAUUUAUAGAGCAUGAGCCUAGAAAUGUCACUUCCCCAGUGGUUUUAAGUAUUAGUUCUUUGGCCUCAGUUUCUGGAAACUCUCUGUCUUAAUGUCAUGGCCCAGCACAGAGAUGGUGUUUUUCUGGCACUUGUUGUGUUGAGAUGGCCGUGUGGCCUUCCUGCUUUAUUCCAUAAGUGACUGAAAUCCUGUUUCAAAGAUCAGAAACAUGAUUUGUUCAUUUCUGAGUCAUGGACAGCAGGCUACCUCACUGGCAAGGCAUGCAUAAAUGGUUAUCCCAUGAUACCUGGUAAAAGCCACUUGGUUCUUCUUCCUUAAGUUCUGAAAAACUAGAGCUUGUAGAGUGUUUUUGUAGGCUACAAGCUGACCAUUAUUGAAGGUGCUGUAAGCAUGUGGUAACCCUGUAUUCCUAGUCUUGGUUAGCAUGUGAAUGGUUGUGUUUAAUGUAUGAAAAAAUAUAUAGAUAUAUAUUCCUAAACCUCCAAGAAAAAAAUAAAGGAAACAAAUUGCUUUCA